UAGCUCUUUUCUGAAUCUAUUUAUGAAUUCCUGUAAGUCUUCUGAAUUUUCUGAAUUUUCUGUGACAUAAAAAUAAAGCCUACCCUGUCUAACAUAUUUAGUACCUUGACUUAUACUGUAGCAGGAGCCUCCGUUACCCACAUUUGGGAAAGAGAAAAAAAAUUUCAUACAUAUAUGAAGGGGAGAGAGAGAGAGAAAGAGAGAGAGAAGAUGAAGAAGAAGAAAGAAAGAAAGAAAGAAAGAAAGAAAGAAAGAAAGAAAGAAAGAAAGAAAGAAAGAAAGAAAGAAAGAAAGAAAGAAAGAAAGAAAGAAAGAAAGAAAGAAAGGAAGGAAGGAAGGAAGGAAGGAAGGAAGGAAGGAAGGAAGGAAGGAAGGAAGAAAGAAAGAGAGAAAGAAAGAAAAAGAAAGAAAGAAAAAGAAAGAAAGAAAAGAAAAGAAAAGAAAGAAAGAAAGAAAGAAAGAAAGAAAGAAAGAAAGAAAGAAAGAAAGAAAGAAAGAAAGAAAGAAAGAAAGAAAGAAAGAAAGAAAGAAAGAAAGAAAGAAAGAAAGAAAGAAAGAAAGAAAGAAAAGAAAAAAGAGGAAGGAAGGAAGGCUGACAAAUCUAGUUCCAUUUUCUCAUCUAUAAAAUGAUCUGCAGAAGGAAAUGCUUCUAGUAUUUUUUCCAAGAAAACCCUAAAUAUGAUAAAGAGUUGGACAGGCCUGAAAAACAACUGAACAACAACAAUAUGUAUGAAUGUGGAUAUGGAUAUACAUUCCUCUCUGUAUGUGUGUGUAUCUGUAUGCAUGUAUGUAGCUUUCUCUUUGGCUUUAUCAUGCAGAUAGAAUCACAGAGUCAGAGACCUAGAGUUGGAGGAGACCUUAGAGGCCAGAUAAUUCAACUCCUUCAUUUUACAGGUGAGGAAACUGAGAUCCAAAUCGGUAAAGUGAUAUUCCCAAAAUCACACAGGUAGAAAACCUCUUAUUGUUUAUGGAUUAUGAGCAUUAUUCAACAUCUCACUAAUUUCCAAGAUUCCACUGCCUUUGCAACUCUGAUGAGAAAGAUCUUGAGUACCUUGCAAGAUCAAUCCACUGCCAAAUUUUAACUCUCACUUUAUAUGGCUUUCUAUUUUAAGCUUUUAAGUCCCGAAGGAAAGUUCUUUGCUGAUAUUUUGAUGAGGUGUUAAAUCUUCCUCUGCUAUUCUUACAACUGACAGUUACUUUUCCACUUCAGCUUUAAAAGAGGCUAUUGGUGAUCUCAUACACUACAUAGAGUAACUUUGUUUUUUUGUUUUAGUUUUUAGGGGAAUAUUUUGGCAAUAGUCCCAUUAAAAUCUGCCAAACAAAUAAAAAGUUGUCAAUAAGAG
rnacentral:lncRNA from 1 species